GCAAAUAUGUGGACCCAGAACAGGACAGCUGCCGCCUCCCUACCGCAGCCGCGUAAGCUAGCAACCGCACCUGUGGACAAGAUAUGAGGGAUCAGCGGUUUCCUUUGCACACCUCCAAAUCCCAAAACGAGUCCUAGCUACAAGUGUAUCGAUCAGAUAGCUCUGCCAACAUACUUGGAGGAUAUUAGUUUGGGUGUUUAGCACACGGGACAUGACAAAGUCAUAUCUACAUGACGGACAGUGUGCUACUAAAGUUUAGCCUUAUUUUGAAUUAUCCGAAUGCAGUGAUCUAUUUUGCAAAUCGUCAUUUACAAAGUACCAAGUGCCUUCCAACAAUGGUAAGAAAUUUAUCAACCACGAUCUUAAGAAUACGGAAGAGCUUCACUUCACUUUCAUUUCACAAUGAAUUUGGACUGGAAGAUAAGAGUUGGGGUCUUUACCAGAC